rnacentral:rRNA from 1 species
AUGGCGACGGAGAAGGGGUCGUCGGCGUCGCUGGGCCGGCCGUGUAUUCUGAUCAUAGUGGUGGCCGGCGUGGAGAGGUUCGCGUUCAAGGGGGUGGCGUCCAACAUGGUGAAUUACCUCACCGGCGUCGUGGGGAUGAGCACGGCGGCGGCGGCCCAGAGCGUCAGCGCGUGGGUAGGGAUCACCUCCAUGCUGCCGCUCGUCAGCGCCGUCCUCGCCGACUCCUACUGGGAUCGCUACUCCACCGUCACCGCCUCCUCCUUGCUCUACGUCGCCGGGCUGGCAGGACUAGCCUCAUGGGCAAUGCUUCACAAAUGGCUGCCAUGGGCGACGCUCUUCUUGCCACUUUACCUGAUCUCCAUCGGGCAAGGCGCGUACAAUCCUUCGCUGCAAGCCUUCGGCGCCGACCAGCUCGACAUCGGAGACGAGGACGACGACGGCGGCGGCACGGCGGAGGAGAAGGGCAAGGUGAAGAGCGCCUUCUUCCAGUGGUGGUACUUCGGCAUAUGCUGCGGCAGCCUCCUGGGGAACACCACCAUGUCCUACGUCCAGGACACCGUCGGCUGGGGCAUCGGCUUCGCCGUCCCCUGCGCCGCCAUGGCCCUGUCCGUCGCGGCGUUCCUCUGCUGCACCCCUCUCUACAAGAAGAUCAGCCAGCCAAGAAGCGCCGACAGGCCUUGCUCUGAGAGCAUCCUCAGAGCUCUCAAGUCACUUCUUGCGAGUGUUUCGGCCGGAAAGAUCCGUUUGUCGUCGAGACAUGAUGGUCAAGACGACGGCGACGACAAGAACAAUGCUUCCGAGCUAGAGUUGCAGGAGAAGCCCCUGAAACUAGCCAAGCUAACUGACCCGGAAGAGACCAACGGACCCGGCGUGGCCAAGAUCAUCCUCAGGCUGCUGCCGAUCUGGACGGUGCUGCUCAUGUUCGCGGUGAUCUUCCAGCAGCCGAUGACCUUCUUCACGAAGCAGGGCACGCUGAUGGACCACCGGGUCGCCGGCGGCGCCUUCGUGAUCCCGCCGGCGACGCUCCAGAGCACGAUCACCGUGUCCAUCAUCAUCCUCAUGCCGCUCUACGACAGGGUGAUCAUCCCCCUGAUCGGCGCCGUCACCCGGGAAAGCAAGGGGAUCACGGUGCUCCAGCGGAUCGGCGUGGGCAUGGUGUUCUCCGUCGUGGCCAUGGUCGUUGCGGCGCUCGUCGAGUCCCGGCGCCGCCACGAGGCUGCCGGCCAGAUGAGCAUUGCCUGGCUGCUCCCGCAGUACGUGCUGCUGGGCGUCUCGGACGUGUUCGCCGUCGUGGGGAUGCAGGAGUUCUUCUACUCGCAGGUCCCCGACGCGAUGAGGACCAUCGGCAUCGGGCUCUACCUCAGCGUCUUCGGCGUCGGGAGCCUCGUCGGGACGCUGCUGAUCGCGGCGAUCGAGGUGGCCACGGCGGGGGGCGCCGGCAAGGGCCACGGCUGGUUCUCCGACGAUCCCCGGGAGGCGCGCAUGGAUAACUACUACUGGUUCUUGGUGCUCCUGAGCUCCGUUAGCUUCGUGAUCUUCACACAGCUUUGCAGGUGCUACCAUUAG